AAGGAUUUAAGUUAAACAAACUAGUAACCUUCAAAGUUACCAAUAAGAAAAAUCUCAUCUCUUAAGCCUUA
rnacentral:tRNA from 1 species